GAAGCAAAGAAUUAAGUAAUGGAAAGCAAACAGAAAUAGAAUGACCUAAGCCCAAUUUGGUUUCUUCUUCAUCCGUGUGAGCGGCAAACCUAAGCCCUUUCUCUUUACAUGAGGGGCAACAACCUCUUCCUUCUCAAUACAUCAUGAUGAGACGCAUGGACCUUUUCUCACUCUUCUCCAACGGAAUCGCCAGAGUCCAGGCUGUCGCUGGUCAACCACCGUGCGAAAUCCUUUUUCAGCUUCUUACUUUUGUCCAAAGCCACCGUCAUUCACACAGCCAACCACCAUCACCAGAACAUCAAAGCAAAUUCGAGAGGCCCUUGGAGUGGAACAACGAAUUGAUGAUGGAUGAGUUAUGAUGUUUAUGUGAUGAACCAUAAUGUAGUGUUGAUUGCAUGUGAUUGUUAAAUUUUGUUUCUUAUAUACUCAUGGUGGCGUGCUCGAGGAGGUCUUACUUUGGUAAGUAGGUUCUGUUUUGGCAAACAGUAUCGAGGAAGUCCAACUUUGGUAAGUGGACCUUGUUUUUGUGAAUAGGAUAGUCCUACUUUGGUAAUUAGGUCAUGUUUUGGUAAAAAUAACCGUGGAAGUCCUGUUUUGGUAAGUGGGUCAUGUUUUGGUAAACAAGUCAAGUAGCCGGAGCAUGGAAGAAAACAUAGUAGGUUGUAGAGAUAACAUGGUUUAUCUGGAUUGAAGUAAGAAUUGACGAUGUUUUAUUGUGUGGUAGAUUUGAUUUGAGUAGGUGAUGACUUGGGCCCAAGCCCAAACUCCAUUAAAGGGCUUAUCACUUGUAGCAUUUUGAGAAAGCUCUAAAAAGGACUUGAAGAUACAUCCAAGAGAGGAGAAGUGAAGGCUUUGUUCACUUGGAUUAAGCAAGACUCUCCCAACGCACAUUUGGGCUCGCCCAGUGAGAUAACGUUGAGCCAAUGACCUAGGGCGCCCAACAUUAACGGCCUGUUUUACCCUUUUCACAUGUAACUUAUUUUUCAUGUGUUUAUGCAUUGUAAACGUGCUAGAUACGUGGCAUUCGAUCCAAUUAUGCGCCUAAUCAUCAAGAUUAUGAUUUGUACAGUGGGGAAGGCUUGAAUCAACCUAUAAAUUCACCUCUUCUA